UGGGCGAAUCCAUAUGGAUAUGG
rnacentral:siRNA from 1 species